GUCGAGAAUCAUUCGCAAUGGGCGAAAGCCUGACGGUGCGACGUCGCGUGGAGGAUGAAGGUCUUCGGAUUGUAAACUCCUGUCAUGUGGGAUAAAUGGCCGGGGCACGAAUAGUGCCUCGGAAUGAUAGUACCACAGGAGGAAGAGACGGCUAACUCUGUGCCAGCAGCCGCGGUAAUACAGAGGUCUCGAGCGUUGUUCGGAUUUACUGGGCGUAAAGGGCGCGUAGGCGGUUUGAUAAGUCAGAUGUGAAAGCCCACGGCUUAACUGUGGAAGUGCAUUUGAAACUGUCAGACUUGAGUAUCAGAAGGGAAAGUGGAAUUCCCGGUGUAGAGGUGAAAUUCGUAGAUAUCGGGAGGAAUACCGGUGGCGAAGGCGACUUUCUGGCUGAAUACUGACGCUGAGGCGCGAAAGCGUGGGGAGCAAACA
rnacentral:rRNA from 1 species